UCUAGGCUGAAACCGAAACAUAGGAUAUAAGACAUAGACGCUCUGGGCUCAUUCUAAAGAGGUAGCAGGACUGUUUACUCAUGGAAAUCUGACAGGGUUAACGGUGAAUCAUGUUGAUGCUGGUUUGAGGUGGAGGUGGUUUUGUGCCAGCUCUUGCUCUGUCUGCCUCACAUCUGUCUCCCAUUGCUAUCUUCCUGAUUUCACAUGUGUCAGUCAUGGAGUGGGGGAAGGGUGGGGAAGCAGUUGUUUCCAAUCACUACCAACUAUAAGCACACAAAACGUAAUGCAGACCACUUCAGCCACGGAGCACUGCUUUUAUCUGACUAUAUUGUUGGGUAGAACAUAUAUAUAGGGCCACUCCAGGAUGGGGCCAAGACACACAUCGUUCAAAGUAACCCCCAGAAAGCCACCACUAGAAAUAUAUCGCCCCAACCCUUACAAAGGAGAGAGAGAGAGAAUUCACAGAGUGUAUGUGCCAUCAAAGGAACCCCUCUCUCUUUCAUGGCCAUCUUUUUGGGACAAACCUUAAAUCUGCCAAGCAAGGACGAUGAUGAUUUCUUUCCUACCUCCCAGAAGUGGACAAGGAUGAAUUCAGUGAUAAAGGGAAGACCAUGAUGUAAGGCAGAGCUCACAUCAAAGAGACUCUAGGGGAUGUCAUUUCCUCUCUUCUUCCCAAAGCUUCUAUAAAAUCUCCAGGAUUUUGUUUUGGAGUUGGGACAGCUUUAAAGAAUAGAAACCCCGAGUUACUAUGACUUCCACAGGAUUUCACUCUGGCUACUGGUAUGAGACACAAUGGAGGAGCUCCACAGAUCUACAUUUGACUCGGAGUCUUGGGGAGGGGGGCAGUUAGAAAGGAGGACUAUUUGAUGUAAUGGGGUUUCAGUAGGCUUUGGGGUGGCUUUGGGCCACAACUUUAAGCAAUUUAGGCAGGAAAAGUUGGAGAAACUGAUGAAAAGAAACUGCAGAAAAAGGAGAGUGGAGAGAGAUACAAAACUGAGAAUGAAGGAGAAGAGAAACAAAGGUAACUCGUAUUAUCUUUAAUGCAAGCUAAGCUCACCUGCUGCCCUGUCUACAGGAGCCAAGGGGCAUCUUCAGCUUAGUUUUGGUCAGCUUAGGCCAGUGAUCUUCAAGUUGACCCUUGCAGCCACCCUCAAUCACUUGAUGGAAUUUCUUCCCAGCAUACCAUAUGUUAGUAUAAAAAAUUUGUUUUAUAAAGGAUUUGUCUAAAUUUUUCCCCAGGUUCUUGGCAUGGGGCUUCUCAUACCCUUGGGAUUUCCAGAGUGAUAGAAGUAUCUUUGUUAUUCAUGAGCCCCUUGGAUCAUUGUGCAGUCAUUAUGUUAAUGAGGUGACUCAUCCUGGCCCCUAGAUAACUUCUGAGUGGGAGCUGGUCACUGGGACGGCUGUGAUUAGAGGGUCAGGUCUUUGAGCCAACUCAACCUCCAGAGAGGGAAGGGGGACAGGAGAUUGAGUUUAAUCAUGGGGCCAGUGAUUUAACCAGCUAUGCAUGUAUAAUGGAACUUUGGACACCAAAGCUGAGGGGAGCUUCCGGGUUGGUGAACACUUUGAUAUACACAGAGAGUGAUGCACCCUCUUUCCAUAAGGAGAGUACAUGGGAUCUUCCCAGACCUCAGCCUGUGUUUCUCUUCAUUUGGCUGUUCCUGGUCUGUAUCAUUUAUAAUAAAACUGAACUUGGAAUG